GGGGAAAGAGGCAACAGGUGAGCUUAAAUAUGGUGCAUGCAUAGCAGCAUGUAAUGUGGAAAACAAAAAUGAACACAAAAAUGCAAGAUUAACACAAAAUGAAAGUGUGCUUUUAAGAAAUAACUACAAAGAGCUUCAUAUAAAAGAGAGCAGUCUCUCUCAGGCUCCUUCAGUGUUCAUUUCGCUCUUGUGAAGGGAUGCUGGAGAACCUAGACCAGUUUGUCUGUUCACUUGUCUGUUCAUCUGGCAUUCAAUGAGAUAAAGAUUUAUGGUCCCAGUGACUGAAAAACAAUAGUCCCUAAAGUAAAACCAAAGGCACAUUUUGAAGGUUGUCAUGGUCCUGGGCCAUGUGGGCCCAGCAUUCUUAGUUUUCAUGUAUUUUUGUAUUUUGUUCUUUAUUUAGGCCAUGCUUCCUGGGUUGAUCUGUUACGUUGUUCCUUAUGUGUUUUCCCUUCGUGACUCUUACCCCCUGUGUGCCCCUCUGUGUAUUUAUGAGCCCUCGUCUCCCUUUGUGGUUGUUUCAUGUUUCCCCAGCCCGUUAUGUCUGUGUUUUUCCCCGUGCUCUCUCUCCUCCUGUCUGAACCUCUGUGCCUGUACAUGUCAUGUUCAGUUCACCCAGCCCUGUCUCGUUAUGAUUAUCAGUGUCACCUGUGUUCCCCGUGUGUGCCCACUUUCCUCGUUUACCCUCUGUGUAUUUCUGUCUGAGUCUCCCUCUGUUCGGUGUCGUGUUCUCCCUCAUGCUGUGUGUGAUUCCCCUGUGUUCCUUGGUGAGCUUUAUGUUAGUUUUUCCCAGUUUAGUUUUGUAUUGUUUCUCGUGGCCAGCAAUAAAGCUGUGUUUUUGAGUUCACCCCCGUGUCGUACUACGGUGUACAUUUUAGGACAUCGUCAGGUAUCAGACAAAAAAUUGUCAGGUGUCAGUUGUCAAAAAAAAAAGUUGUCAGGUAUCAGAAAAAAAAUUGUCAGGUGUCAGAAAAAAAAUUGUCAGGUGUCAGUUGUCAAAAAAAAAAAAAGUCAGGUAUCAGAAAAAAAAUUGUCAGGUGUCAGAAAAAAAGUUGUCAGGUGUCAGAAAAAAAGUUGUCAGGUGUCAGACAAAAAAUUGUCAGGUGUCAGUUGUCAAAAAAAAAAAAGUCAGGUAUCAGAAAAAAAAUUGUCAGGUGUCAGAAAAAAAGUUGUCAGGUGUCAGAAAAAAAGUUGUCAGGUGUCAGAAAAAAAGUUGUCAGGUGUCAGACAAAAAAGUUGUCAGGUGUCAGAAAAAAAAUUGUCAGGUAUCAGAACACAAGGUACCAGAGAGAAAAUCUUCCUGCAGGUGGCGCUGUUGUCAUGUCCCACCCGAAUUGAUUUCCAAAUACGUCAUCAACGUGUGACCGUGGGAGAGCGUAAGGUCAUUGACCUCACCGGAGUUUUACCGUGGUUCAGGCUCCUAACGACACAAGGUAAGUUUAACUUUUUCUCCCUUUUGUUCAUAUUUUUGCCACAGUUGUGUUAUAUUAAGUUGCAGUUAUGUUGUGAAAGUUACAUAUCAGAGACGGAAAGCCAGUUUUGUACGAAACCAAAUCAGUACUAUUUUUGUCUGGCUAAUUCAUUCUAGCUAGCGACAGUGGUGAAACGUGAUUCAAAUUUAAACUGUUCAGUAAUUGUUUUGUAUACAUUUCAGCAAAUGGACAAGCUGAAAGCUUACGAGCAGCCUGCAUCCUUUCUGUCGCUCUUUUUCUUUAUUUCUCUUUUCUAUAUUGCUACUGUCGGGAUAUUUUUUGAUCCCGAUUUUUUUUUCUGUUAUUGUUUUUAGACUUUGCUGCAAUAUGUCAUCUGACGAUGAUGAAAGGAGUAUCCGACUCUGGCUGGUUCCCAUGACUGUACCAAAAAUACUUUUUUUUUUAUUAAAAAAAGAGCAUUAAAAAUAAAUGACUAAAGUACAACUUAUUUAUUAACUACUGUUCACCUAUUUAAUAUCAAAGAAGUGUAUUUUUUGCUACACGUUUUAUUUGUGGGCACUGAAUUGACGAUGCUUUUAGUGUAAUUGCCACAUAAAAAGAUUUAGUACUUUACUGGUUAAUUACUUAUGUUCAGUGUAAGAGGUGGGUGAUCAAUUAGACUGUUGUUGUUACACUUAACCUUUCAAGAUAUGAUGAUAAUAACAUUGUUCAACAAAGGCUUAAAACAAAAGGAAAUCAGCUGUGCACUGAAUUCAUAUGGGCAUAAAAUAAGUGAGAGGCAUCUGAGACGAGUUUUAAAACUUCUAGGGUUGAAGCGAAGAUGCCCCCAACGACC
ensembl:lncRNA